rnacentral:rRNA from 1 species
GAUGAACGCUGGCGGCGUGCCUAAUACAUGCGAGUCGAGCGAACGGACGAGAAGCUUGCUUCUCUGAUGUUAGCGGCGGACGGGUGAGUAACACGUGGAUAACCUACCUAUAAGACUGGGAUAACUUCGGGAAACCGUAGCUAAUACCGGAUAAUAUUUUGAACCGCAUGGUUCAAAAGUGAAAGACGGUCUUGCUGUCACUUAUAGAUGGAUCCGCGCUGCAUUAGCUAGUUGGUAAGGUAACGGCUUACCAAGGCAACGAUGCAUAGCCGACCUGAGAGGGUGAUCGGCCAAACUGGAACUGAGACACGGUCAAGACUCCUACGGGAGGCAGCAGUAGGGAAUCUUCCGCAAUGGGCGAAAGCCUGACGGAGCAACGCCGCGUGAGUGAUGAAGGUCUUCGGAUCGUAAAACUCUGUUAUUAGGGAAGAACAUAUGUGUAAGUAACUGUGCACAUCUUGACGGUACCUAAUCAGAAAGCCACGGCUAACUACGUG